CGGGACCCGGGCCGGGCCGACCGGGGUACGGGAGGUAACGAACCGUAUCCAACCCUGCCGAUAGACUCGGGGAUAGCCUUUCGAAAGAAAGAUUAAUAUCCGAUAGCAUAUCAAUCCCGCAUGAGAUUGAUAUUAAAGAAUUUCGGUUAUCGAUGGGGAUGCGUUCCAUUAGUUUGUUGGCGGGGUAACGGCCCACCAAGACUACGAUGGAUAGGGGUUCUGAGAGGAAGGUCCCCCACAUUGGAACUGAGACACGGUCCAA
rnacentral:rRNA from 1 species